CACGUAGAUGGCUUUGUAAGUCGGAUGUGAAAUCCCCGGGCUCAACCUGGGAACCGCAUUCGAAACUGCAUUGCUCGAAUGUGGAAGAGGGAAGCGGAAUUCCAGGUGUAGCGGUGAAAUGCGUAGAUAUCUGGAGGAACAUCAGUGGCGAAGGCGGCUUCCUGGUCCAACAUUGACAUUCAGGUGCGAAAGCGUGGGGAGCAAACAGGAUUAGAUACCCUGGUAGUCCACGCCAUAAACGAUGAGAACUAGAUGUCGGGAGGGUUAGCCUUCCGGUGUCGCAGCUAACGCGUUAAGUUCUCCGCCUGGGGAGUACGGCCGCAAGGUUGAA
rnacentral:rRNA from 1 species